rnacentral:lncRNA from 1 species
AAAAAGAAGGGGGGCAUGGUCUUUCUACUGAUAAGUACACUUGCUCUUUGUUUACCCCCUUACACCAAAUUCAUGUCUAUCCUGAAAUCUUUGAAAUAUUAGACGCUCUUGACAUUUCAUACACGAUCUAUAGCUUUAUCUUUUGGUUUGAAAUAAAUCAAUGCAAAAGGUUGCGCAGAUGCUGCUUCAAAUUUUUAGUGUUCUUUUUGCAGCAUCCUGUAGAAGUUUGUAAAUUUCACCACAUGUAGACAGAAAUUUG